UUAUAAAUUAGAUUAAGAGCUGUUAGCUAACAUCAUACUAAUAUACAAAACAUAAAUCCCAAUGGACAAGUUAAUCCAAAAAAUAUGUUGGGAUAGUUUAGCUUGUCAAAGUUGUACCCAAAAAAAGAAGUUGAUUACGUACAAAAG